UAAAAUCCCACAAGAUGUUAAGUCUAUUCUGCACUCGUCCUAUAAUACGAUGAAUCGGUCGAUGAGAAUGCACAAUGCAUUUCUUAUGUACCGACCGAGUCGAUCGAGGAAACAAUUCAUAGGAAGCAACAGGUGGAGGAGUAGAAGGCGAAACAAACUCACGAGAAGGCGCCACUGGUCAACGGCGAUAUCUCGAGGAGGCGCUAAUUCGCUCGUUCGUGGGCAUGGUUCGAAGCUCGUCGUCCGACCGCUUGUGCGGCUUUAACUUUUUAAAAUGUCGCCGAUGGCCGUGACAGGGUCUAUUUUUAGCCACGACGAGAUAAGCGUGGCGGGGAGAACUGUUGAGAGACCUGAAGCGAGACGGAAAAGAGGGAAUUCCCUAGGCGAGAAAAAGACGAAUAGAAACAGCCGAGAGUGGGACAUCCAGUAGCGUAACCGGAUGGCAUUUUAGUAGGCACUUGGAAAAACACCUGUUUAAUUAACUCUCUGCUUGUACAAUGAUCGAUGGAAUUGGAUGAACAUGCGCAACGAUUCAACAAGUUUCUCUCCUUACAAAACGAUUACUUUGUUCCCCAUUAACGAGAUAUCGAUGAUACGAACGAAGUGACGGAUAACGUGAAUGAAAACAUUGUCGAUGAUACGAGCGAUUAAAUACCAAAGAAAUGUUUCUACUAGUUAACACUAGGGAAUUCUCGACACAAGCAAUUUUUCCCUAGAUGAAAUAUCUAUAGGACACGUACUAUAUCUUCGGAAAGAUAAAACGCUUUCCACGCGUGAAUUACUAUACGAUUUCGAUUCUCUCUGGAUACAAACUACUUUUUUCAUUAAAUUCAUUCUUCCGUUACAAUAUUGAUUCAAUUAUAUCACUGAACAGGAACGACAAAGAUUGUUGGAAUAGAAAUGAAUAGUGGAGUUCGAGGAGAUUGGGAGCGAGGAAAAGGGGCAAAAGGGGGAGGAAAGAGAAAGAGAAAAAGAUAGAAAGGGAGAAAGAGAAAGAGAAUCAAAGAACUAAUUAUACGUGACGUCACUCGACUGGUUUCAACACAGAGCCGAGUGCAACGAGUCUCGACUCGACGAGUCAAGUCACGGCAAGUGGGCCAAAGAAGUCUUUCCCUAUCUCUCUCCUUCUCUCCCCCUUUUCUAUCUCCGUUUCUUUCUUUUUCUAAGCCGCGGAAGCUGCAUGUACGAGAAGAGGAGGAGGAGGAGGAGGAGCAUAAAGGAGAUUUCUUCUCGCUUCAUGAUGAUGAAGUAGGAGGAGGCAAAAAUAGACUCCCAAACUUUAUGGACGCUAAAUCACUGGCACGUUAGGCCCGCUGCCAUUCCCAAUGACUCGUUCAAGCUGGAGUGACCGACUCAUUAACCAUAAUAUAACGACAGCGACGAAUAGGAAAUUCAAUUUUGGACGGUCUGUAAGGCAAGCUUGUGACGAUGGCGAAAAAAGGUCCCUAAAUGGAAACUUGUCGAAGGUUCAACCUGUUUACGAUAGCUUUCACGAAUUCAUUGAUGUACGAUAUAUUUUCUUCUGUAUCUGGAUCAAUGAAUUACGGUAUUUCGGAAUUAUUUGGUAAAAUCGUUUUAAAGUGGAGUAUAUAAUUGAGCAAUGUUUUUAAGAUUUGAUACAUUUAUAUCUAUUUCAAAAAUUGAACAAAUAUUUGGAUGUAAAUUUUAUGCAAAAAUUUAAA